rnacentral:rRNA from 1 species
AUACGGAGGGUCCAAGCGUUAUCCGGAUUCAUUGGGUUUAAAGGGUCCGCAGGCGGGAAAAUAAGUCAGUGGUGAAAGCCUACAGCUCAACUGUAGAACUGCCAUUGAUACUGUUUUUCUUGAGUAUAGAUGAAGUGGGCGGAAUAUAUCAUGUAGCGGUUAAAUGCAUAGAUAUGAUAUAGAACACCGAUUGCGAAGGCAGCUCACUAAACUAUUACUGACGCUCAGGGACGAAAGCGUGGGGAGCGAACAGGAUUAGAAACCCCAGUAGUCC